CCGUAACUAUAACGGUCCUAAGGUAGCGAAAUUCCUUGUCGGGUAAGUUCCGACCCGCAUGAAUGGCGUAACGAUCUGAGCGCUGUCUCGGCGAGGGGCUCGGCGAACUUGAGAUACCGGUGAAGACGCCGGUUACCUGCAACUAGACGGAAAGACCCCGUGCACCUUUACUAUAGCUUGGCAGUGAGCUUUGGUCAUGUAUGUGUAGGAUAGGUGGGAGGCAAUGAAGCGGAGACGCUAGUAACCGUGGAGCCAACCUUGAAAUACCACCCUUACCUUACUGGGGCUCUAACCUGUCCCCGUGAUCCGGGGAAGGGACACUGUCUGGUGGGUAGUUUGACUGGGGCGGUCGCCUCCCAAAGAGUAACGGAGGCGUCCAAAGGUCUCCUCAGGCUGGACGGAAACCAGCUGUUGAGUGCAAAGGCAUAAGGAGGCUUAACUGUGAGGCAGACAAGCCGAGCAGAUACGAAAGUAGGGCUUAGUGAUCCGGUGGUUCUGAAUGGAAGGGCCAUCGCUCAACGGAUAAAAGGUACGCCGGGGAUAACAGGCUUAUCGGGUCCAAGAGUUCAC
rnacentral:rRNA from 1 species